AAAUAAUAUAAAGUAGGACAGACUAGAACUAAGUAACCAAGUCACAUAAACAAGUCAUUUUAUGCCGAAACUGUUCAAUAAACGUUUUAGCCACACAUAUAAGACUAGUUGAUCCAUGAAAAACAUAGGUGAAGGAGAUUCUCCGGCGACGAGGGUUCAGAAGAGUGAUAGAGGAGGAAGUGGGAAAGAGCGUGUUGCAUAAUUUUCGACCAAAACGACAGAGAUGGAGAGUAAACGACACCGUUGCCAUGCUGGCAUUUGGUUCUUUCUGGAGAAGAAAUUGAAAUGCAAAUUUCUGAUAUUACAAUUUUGAAGCUCUGACUGUUGUUGGAGGCAGUGGCAGAAGAACGAAGUGUUUCGUAGUCAUCCAAAUCUGCCUCAUCCGACACUGUUGGAUGCCAUUUUUCCUUCUUAUCACAG
rnacentral:lncRNA from 1 species